AACCUAGCACACCUGCGGUGUGUACCUGCGGAAGGAUCAUUACCUAGAGUUUGUGGACUUCGGUCUGCUACCUCUUACCCAUGUCUUUUGAGUACCUUCGUUUCCUCGGCGGGUCCGCCCGCCGAUUGGACAACAUUCAAACCCUUUGCAGUUGCAAUCAGCGUCUGAAAAAACAUAAUAGUUACAACUUUUAACAAUGGAUCU
rnacentral:misc_RNA from 1 species